UGUUGGGCAAGGGCUAUAGCUCAGUGGUAGAGCAUCUGGUUUGCAUGCAGAAGGUCCCCGGUUCAAUCUUUGGCAUCUCCCAAUAA
rnacentral:tRNA from 1 species